AUCGAACGCUGGCGGCAGGCCUAACACAUGCAAGUCGAACGAGUGGCGGACGGGUGAGUAAUGUCUGGGACAUUGCCUGAUGGAGGGGGAUAACCACUGGAAACGGUAGCUAAUACCGCAUACCAUCAGAUGUGCCCAGAUGGGAUUCGCUAGUUGGUGGGGUAACGGCUCACCAAGGCGAGGAUCCCUAGCUGGUCUGAGAGGAUGAACGGCGACACUGGAACUGAGAAACGGGACAUACUCCUACGGGAGGCAGCAGUGGGGAAUAGUGCAUAAUGGGCGCAAGCCUGAUGCAGCCAGGCCGCGUGUAUGAAGAGGGCCUUCGGGUUGUAAAGUACUUUCAGCGUGGAGGCGUUACCCGCAGAAGAAGCACCGGCUAACUCCGUGCCAGCCGCCGCGGUAAUUC
rnacentral:rRNA from 1 species